GCCGAGCUUCGCAACGUGAGCUUGUAACCCAAGUGGGGGCUUUGAGGUAUUGGAACAUUGGCCCAGUAUUAGCUGGUCGGGUUCAGGUUGGCUAUCUUCUGGCCCGCCCAUUCCAAGCCAGGAGUUGAACCUUGUGGCUUGAGCGAAGGCUCUCGGUCACUGGGUUACUAGAGAGGAGGGCACUGCGUAAGGCUGGCUUCACAGAGCAACGACUACCUCCCGCUCUUGGCAGUGGAAGGAUAACGGGUCGGUGCCGCUUGGAUCCACCAUGGCCAGCUAGACUGUCCCAGUUGAACCAAAACCUUU
rnacentral:SRP_RNA from 1 species